UUUAUUCUCAAGCAAAUGACACGGUCUGUGAUGUUUGUGAGUAGCGAUUUUGUAACUCCUGAUAUUACUGGGAUGGACUCUGAAACCUGAAAUGCUCAUUUGAGUCUUUCAGCUCUCCAGCAACCCAAAAGCUACUGCAGAAACACAUAUGUUUUGCAGAAGGUUGAUUUAUUCCCUGGAUAUUUACUUGCUGGUUUGGGUUGGGGUAUUUUUUUUUAAUUUGUUUUGUUUAUUUCUGCUUUUAUCAGCUCCAGCUGAGACAGAAGAGGGUGGGAGGAGGGUUUUGUUCCUCUGGAGAUAACAGGAGGCUGUGUCUGUGCAGCCAUGGUGACAAGAUCCAGGGCGCUUUCUGGCUUCCAAGCAAUUUGCUCCCCACCCCUGGCUCCCAAGUAAAAGUGGGGCAGAGAGAGAGAGGAGCUUUUGUUUCUCAAGUGCUUCAGCUGUUGCUACUAAUUAAGCGAAGAGCCCUACUGCCUUCCCACCUCCCAGGCUUAAGGAGGGUCUAGUUGGGGUGAAAGGAGAGUCAAGAGUCUGUGCUGCUGCUGCUGCUUCUCCGCACCCUGCUCUCACUAUAUGGCUCUUUUCAUCCUUUCUCUGCCUUGCCGGGUGACCUGCGGCCAGCUCCAUGCCUCAGAUUCCCUGGCUGCAGCAGGGAAGAAAUGAGAGAGACCAAGCUCAGCGUGAGGCCAGAUGGAAACUACCACCCUGCUGCUCAAGACUUCCCUGGAUGUCAUUCCCUUCUCUCUCUGAAAUGCCAGCCCCGUCCCCAAGCUCUAACAGCGUUACUGAAACCUCCCUGGUGUUGCCAGAAUGUGCUGGAGGAGCCAGAUGAACUGUCAACAGCUCGGUAUCAGGCGAAUGGCCUUUGCACAGGGCAGUUGCACUUUUUUUUUGGACAAGGAGAGUGUGUGGAGGGUACGGUUAGCGGCUGCUGUGAGGGCCGCAGGGGAACUACGUGGCCUCAGCCCAGUCUUGCAACAGGGACCACGCACCGUGCCAAAGCGCUGCGUGCGUGUGGGAAGGACUGCAGGUACGAAAGGAACGUAGAGAUGUGGAGAGAGAGAAAAAAAAUGAAUUUAGGGAGCAGGAAUGCUGCAGGCAUCCAGCAGCCCGUGGAACUGAGGAGUUAGCCCUGGCUCGGUCCUGCAGGAUGCCUGGUCCCCAAGGACUGAGGUAGCAGCCAAGGCCGUGGCUGCUCCCCGGGGCCUCUCCUCCCACUGAGCUCAUUUGGGUGUCUUCAGCCCAGGAUCUCCCAGGGAGAAAUUUAGGGCCCCACUCAGGAACAGAUGGUCUCCUUCUUGGGCCCCAUCUGCCAGGCAACACUGGAGCAGUUGCUCUCUGCAGUGCUGAGCAGAAUCUUGUUUACUUUCCCCUCGUGUCAGCAAGGUGAUGUGUAGGGAAACCAAGCCCUGCUGUUACCAGCCCGGAUUUCCAGGAGCAGCCAGGAACCGUGAGGCGCAAGAGCAAAACCCAAGAGACACCUUUGUGAGGGCCAGGCAACGUGGCAUCCACAGCCCAGAUCCAAGACGGAAUCCAGCCAAGAAGAGGGCUGCAGGAUAUUGUUUGGGAAGCCAUUGAUGCACACGCAGGAUAAAAGCAUGUGGACUAAAGGAGAAACCUGGAGUGAAAUUUCACGAGGGGCAUCCUGCUAGGAGCAACGUGCACGUGAGCCUGGUCUGUGAUGAACUGCUUAGUGCCCAGACUGCUGAGAGGUGCUUUUCGUGGAGGUCUUUGCCUCUGACUAUGCCUGGAGCCAAGUUCUGAGCAUGUGUUCAUGGUUCCUGAAUUGAGGAGGGGGGAAAAACAAGGCAGCAGCCUGCCUUCUAAGACCCAAGUGAGUGGGAUUUUCAGGGUAUCUUGGUCACCUGGGCAUCCUCAUGAGCUCAGCUGGUGCUCGCUCGGCCUGUGUAUCUGGGCAGGCAGAAAGCUAACAGCUGCUCUAGAGAAGUUCAGCCUUAAUGCUCAGAAACAUCUAGUAGAAAUUCUCAUCAGCAGGGAAGUCAGGGCCUGAAAUGACCCUCACUUUGAGGUCUCUGCCCUCACCAGCUUUUAAAGAUGAGGCUGGGUAGGCAGGAGGGGUUGGAAGGACGGACGGUUGCUUUGCAGCUGCUCCUUCCAUCCGUCCCAGCUCAGGGCACAAACAUUGUCAUCCAUCAGGGCUGUGGAGAAGUGUCUCUAGACAGUAUUAAGUACACACAAAAAUAGCAAGCGAGACCAGCUCCUCCUUCAGCAGCCCCAGCCAAAAUUGCUGCGGCACGGCUGAGAAAGGAACUUCACUUAUUCUUUUCCAGGUUCUGAUACCCGAAGCCCAGUAUCGAGGACCGCAGAGGAUAUCAUGCGUCCGUGCGCUAGCGCAUGUUUUCCAGAGACCUCGGCCCCAGAAGUCAGCCUGGCAAAGCAGGAAAAAGUGACCCAAGAGGUGCCAGAGGAACAGAUCCUAGAUUCCUGAAGUCCCACUCAUUAAAAAGCAUUGCCUCUUGUUUCUGUCUGUGCCUGUUCUGUGGACGCAGAUGUUGUUUUAUUCUCACAUGGAUGAGCAGUUGUUUUUAAGUGAGCUCCUGUCCACAAGCCUUGCAUCUCCCCAUAACCAGAAGGGUUUGUUUGCCAGCCUUGGAGAUUCAGCAGAAAUAAUCACUCUCGGAGACACCUGCACCGUCCUUUAGCGAGAUCUGCCCUGAGCCAGAGAGGGGCUGGGACAGGAGCGCCGCCAGCCAGGAGAUGGAGCAGCUUGCCUCCCCAGCAAGGUGAAAGUGUGGGACUAGGGAGAGAAAGCCUGGGCCCUUAGCAGGGUCCCUGUUUUUUUGACGAAGCAGAUGUGACUGUUCUUUUAUGCCACCGUGUGCUUGAGAAGAAGGGAAAAGGCUCACAUCUGCGUCUCAGGGAUGCGAUGGGGAGCCUUUCAUUUUCUUCAGAGACCCUCAAGGAACAUCUCGUAGCUGCUGGAAUUAAUUCUGCCAAUCCCCUGUCUGAUCACAGGCUCCGUGUGCUGGUGUUCAAGAGACGCUUCCUGCUUCCUUUCUUCUGCCUGGGACAGUGGAUGUGCUGGGAUGGAACUGCAGCCGGCCCGGAGCUCGCAGCAGCAGCCAGGACCUGCUUCCGAGGAAGGCUACGCUGGCCUGGAGCCUCCAAGAAAGAGAUCUUCCACCUCUCCCCGCAGCAGCUGCUGGCUGACAGCUUUGUCCCAUUCCCCAGGACGUGUCCCUGUCCCACGAGCCUGAGGACCCCCCUGUGUGCCCCAUCGUCAGGAAGUGCUGCUCUGUUUGGGGCUACCUUGGAGCUGCUGGCACAACAAAGCUGUUUUGCUUUUGGCUGAGCACUCGGCAUCCGAGCUCUCAUGUGGUUGGAGCCCAUUUUUUUUGCAAGAAUGAAAACAGUGGAUUAAUGAGCUGCUUGUGGCUAAUGUGCAGGGUUUCUCAGAACUGGUGCUAUUAGAGCCCAGCGUCAUGUAGGAGGUAAAUGGCAGCACAUGGUGAAUAAAGCAGUGAUAUAAUAGGUUUAAGUAGUCCAUUUCCCUUUGGAGUGUUACUGAUAACAUGCCCAAAUGCAUACAAGACCAUUACCUUAAUGAAUAAGACCGCUCUCUGGCAGAGCACAUACUGCAGCUCCUCACAAGGGGUUUAUUUUUCAUCAUUUUCAUCCAAAAAAAGCCUUGGGUGUUUGAGUUGGAGUGGGGUGCAGGGAGGGUAGAACAGAGACAGAGGGGAAGAGGAGAGCAGAAGAGAAGAAAUAUGGAUGAGAGUAGAAGGGAAAGAGAAGAGGGGACGUAAAUAAAUGCACAGCAAGCACGUUAUGCUGGGACCAGCGUGGCCUCCAGGAAGCGCAGUAAGAGGAACUCAUACCGUCACGCAUGAAGAACAAUGAUCAGACAUUUGAUUUUGUAUAUUGAAAGAGACACAGCUUUGGAAGCGUCGCUGUCCACCGCCAGAAGUGAAGUGCUCCAAAACAAGCAGGCAUCAACGGGCUGGUGCUCACCGUUCCCUCUCUUAAAUACACGAUGACCACGCGUUGCCAUUUGCCUCUGGUCAUUCCAGAGGCAAUUAGUUCAGAAUUAGGAUGUGCUAAUUCUACCCAUGCCAGGGGAGUUGCUCAGGACUUAGCCCCUGUGAUUAGCAUUGUAAAAUCCUGGUGCUCACUAUCGGACAGCAAGUUCUGGGCUAGUUAAGCAGCUCCCUGCUAGCUGGAGACGCUCCACGCUGACACCACGGCAUGGGAGAGCAGGAUUUACCUCUACACCUUCCCUCAUCCAGUUUACUUUUCUCCUGGGAAGGGUGUGUAGAGCAGCAUUGCCUGAAGAUACCUGUUGAAAGCACGAUGGCCACGUGUUUUCUGAAUUUGCUUCUAACCAGUGCAGUGGGAUCUGAAUUAGACUGUCCUGUUACACAGUAACAUGUACUCUUGUGCCAACUAAAGCCUUGUUUUCUCCACCUUCUUCGGAAUUUCUCUACAAAAGGGACACUGGCUUCAAAUCCAGUGCCAAAUGACCCUGAAUUAACUGGAAUUCACCGCACGAGGUGGGUUUCACAGAGGUGUCGUUGUGUAAGAGUCUGUGCAGUGACAGCACCUGAUCCGUAGCAGAAUAAACACGAGGAGAACCAAGAAGGACCCCUGUUCCUAAACGACUGAUUAUGAAGAUCCCCCUGAAAGCCUAAAACAUUUCUCAGAACGUUUAGCAAGACGAACAUGAUUUGGCUGCAGAGGCACCCCCGUCCCAGUGCACCAGUUCCAGCAGUGGCUGCAGGACGAUGCUCAGGACCGUGCGCGAGGAUGGGGCAUGUGAAGAAAACGGCUUCUCCUAGCUGUAGCCUUGUAGCUCCCAGCAAUCUGCGAGGACUGCCUGGAUGUUGCAUCCAGACUAUUAAGUUUAAUCGCCACUGAUAGACCAAACCUCCAUAAACUUGUCUAAAACCUUUUGAACCUAUUUAUACUUUCAGUCUACACAAUAUCCUGUGGCAAAUG